GUUCGGGUUCGGUUUGGAUCUUUGCGGGUUUGGUUCGGAUUAAGAUAACCCAUUAAAAUUAUUUUUAAAAUUUUAAAAUUCAUUUUUUAAUUUAAAUUUCUCAAAAUAUACAAACAAAAUAAUAUAUCACAUAUAAAUUUGAAUAACAUAUAUCAAAAUACCUAAACUUAACAUAUAAUUUGAUUUGGUUUGAAUAUUUGGAUAAAUAAUCAAUAGAUAUUUCAAGUAUUUUUGGUGUUUUGGGUAUAUUUUAGCUAUUUUAUUCAUUUACCUUUGACUAUUUGUAUAUAUUU
rnacentral:lncRNA from 1 species